CAACGUUCUAAAUAUGGGCAACCCCCGCCCCCUCCCCGCGGGGGCCACGGCCCCCUAAGGCGGGGUGGGGGAGGGAAGCGAGCGCCCCCCCCCCCCCGCAAGCAGCGCCUGCGGGAAGGCAGAGGCGCUGCUCAGUAAAGCGUUAGUCACAGCUGAGCAGAGGAAGUUGAAGAACGCCUCAGAAAUUCUCCCGUCAUCAGCCUCCUUCAACUCACUCAUCACCGCGGGCCCCGCUGCCUUACCAGCCUGAUGAUGAGACAAAAACAGCCAAUCAGGUGGUGCCGAUGAUGAUGAAAAUCUCUGAAAUGCUGGCACUUGGCUCCUGCUAGAGAAAAGGGUAAGAACAAAGCUGAACUGUAAAUACAGGUAAAAGCUCCCACAUGUGCAAUAUCCAGGGUACACUAUUCACGAAUAAAAUGCUGCCUCUUAAAAGACCUAGUGUGCCUUUAUUAAGAAUAUAAUUAAAAAACAGCUUUAAAAAGGCUUAGUCAAAUAAAUAAACCCUGCUCCUUUGAGCUCUACAUAUUUAAAGGGAAGAGAUACGUGAUCAGCAAGCUUUUCAUGACCACCUGUUGUGUUUAUUAGUAUAAUUACAGUGCAUAAAGGCCCUAUGGUGCUAGGUGCGGUACAUGCCCAUUGUAAGAGAAUCUUUGCCUCAAAGAGCUUACAGGCUAAAUAGAUAAGACGGACAAAGGAUGAGAGAAAGGAAGGGCUGUUAGCCCCAUUUGAGAGAUGGGGAACUGAGGCACAGAGAGUUUAAGUGACUUGUCUGUGGUUACACAUGGAAAUCUAUGUGAGCUGGACCUAGAUCUCGAUUGCCAGUCCAGUGCAUUUAACCACAAAAUUAUGCUUCCCAAAGCCAAGUCCUUAAGCUGCUCUGCCCCAAUUUGUGAAGCUGAAUUUCAAAUGUGAGAGAGACUCAAAAUGAGGGACAAAACCACAGAGCGGACAGCUUGACAUUUCUUUAAAGGCAUAUGAAGUUUUCCAUAAUCCCCCUUUCUAAAUUCAAAACUGCUGAUGUCAAAUACAGAGCAGCAAGCAGCGAGAUAGCAGGUUUGUGUCAGUGAUACUGGUAAACUGAGGUCUAGAAAUGAAGGUAAAUACAUACCUGGGAUUGAGAGAUGUCUGGAAGACACCAAAAACAAGACUGGAGAAUUAAGAACACAGAGAUUUGACAACUCUAUUUCUCACUGUUCAUAAUCCUAAUAAAACGGAGCAAAUAAUGAAUUAAUAAUCCCUGCGUUAUAAUUUCUCGGUCUGAAUAUAGUAACAUUGUCACGGUCUGAUUUUUUUUUAUUGCUAUAUGCAAUCAAAGAUAAAUGCAUUCCAUUACAAUCUCCCACCUCGCUUAACGGCACCGCCAAUGUGAUUCAUUGUUGAAUCUGACCCUCUUUUCAGAAAGGUGUUACUAAUUUGAGGACGUGUAAUUGCACAUGCAUUUGUGAUAAACUGAGUUAGUUGAUCUCUGAAAGCAACAUAUGUAAUUCCAGCAAAUCUGCCAUCGUAAAUGGCUAUUGCCAAGGAAUUAUGCAAAACUGGAUGCCACAAAUUGUAAAAUUAGGCACAACCAGCUGAUGGAAUUGGGGUUUUAUUGUGGAAUGAGUGUACCAGACUUGGAAUCUAUUCCCAGCUCUGUCACUAAAUUUGCUUGUUCACCUUGAGCGAGUCGUAACCAUUCUGUGCCUCAGUUUCCCCACCCAUUAAUGGGGACAACAACAACCACUUUUCACAGUGCUUUGAGAUCUGAGGAUUGAAAAUGUUUCUGAUAACACAGAUAGAGCUUGAUUUUCAGAGGUGGUGAGCACCUGCAGCUUCCACUGAAUCUAGUGGGAGUUGUGGGUGCUCAGAACUUUUGGAAAAAUCAGGCCAUAAGUGGUUUUAUGCACCAUAGGCCUGAUUUUCAUCUUGCUUAUACCCACGUAACUCCAUUCAUAGCUGUGUAGUAACUCCUGAUUUACAGCAGUAGAAAUGGAGAAUCAGGCCUCCUGUCUUAAUUUAGAAGGUGCUCUUUUUUUCUAUUACACCUGCUGGUAAUUACUUCCACCUGUAGCUUUAAAUUGAGAACAAAAUUUUAUAAUCAGUCAUUCCAAAUAUAUUUAGCAGUCAGACUAACUCCUGGGUCAGGUGCUCUGAUACUUCACACGGCAUGGACCCUUGCCGUUUGCGUUAAUGGAAUACCUUCUGAACAUCUCUCCUGCCAAUCAUGAGUGCAUAUCUCACCUGACUUCCUAUUUCUGAUCCCAUAAAAUCCCUGAUGCAACUACAGUAAUUGCGUACAUGGUAUUUGUAUAUUUUACUUGUCUUCAAUGUGGUAUAAAACCCUUUUGCUUUCUUCAUUGACUCUUCAAAUCCUAUUGAUUCUUUUCCUCUCUCUCUCUCUCUCUCUGCCCCUAUUCCACAGCACAUGUUUCUCUUCCUUUUCCCCUGGAUGUAUUUCCCAGUAUCUUAGUCCUUCUCUUCCCCCAGCACAUGCUCCCCUUCUCCCUUACUCACCCGCCUGGUCUGCUUUAUUCAUACUUCCCUGGACAUACAACCUGGCUGUCUCUUUCUAGUCUUCCCUGAACAUUUGUCUGCUGCAGGUGGCCAUAGUCCCUCUGAGUGGUCUUUGCUUCCUCUCUAUAGUAUAGUAUAGUAUAGGGAGUUGACAGAUGACAUUAUUAUAGUUUUACAUGUUCUGUUUGACUGACUGUGUAGGCAAUUAGAUCUUGGAGAAAUGGUAGUAUAGUGCAAGUUAGUGGGGGGAUUGGGUUUUUUUUGUUGUGCUGGUUUUUAAGCAGAAAUUAAGCAGACACUAAAGCUGGUUCUCUGUGCCUUGGUCUUUCUGACUCAAUUACUUCAUCAGUCCCAAUCUGUUGUCUACAGAAUAUAAUCAUGCAAUGUGUUCCGCAUCCCUCUCGGUGCCUGAUCCACAGAGAAUGAAUCUAUUACAGUCCCUGCCUAAAGGAGCUAGCUCUUUAGCUCAAGAUGGAGACUCUAAUGGUUUUAGAGUAGCA